rnacentral:lncRNA from 1 species
UGCCAGUUAUAUAACAGGAAACUACACUAUUAAUAUCAGUCAAGAUACAAACUGCUCUCAGUUGAAUAACAGGCUCCUUGAACAUUUCAUUUCAACUUCAACAAUCAUACAUCAGUGAGAUUCAGGGGAAUGUACCUGGAAAUUGGAAUGUAAAUAGAGAAAAGGAGAGGAGUCAGCUACUUUGAACAGCAACAGCAACAAAUUCAGCAAUAUUACACCACAGAAAUAUAGGCAGAUUACUUUGAAAACCAGAAAUAUAGGCAGACUCCACAGAUCAGUUCAACAUACUUCAAAUGCAUUCUUAGCCCUUCCAGCUGAACCUAAGCACCUCUAUAAUAAUGCUAAACCCAAAACCCAAAAUGAAAUUCAAAACUAGUAAUGAAACUGUGAAGUUGUUUCGGAUUUCUCCAUUUUUGAUGUUUUUGCUUUCUGAAUAAACUUGGAAUUAAGAUGCCAACUGAAAUCAAAAGCA